AAACGCGGUUACAGCAAAUGAACGACGUCGAAUGUCCAGAUUAAAAUAAUAAAAUAUAUUUAUUUUAAUUCGUGGUCGAGAUUGUUGCGAAUGUUUACGAUUAAAAACCUAGGUAUAUAAUAUUUUAGAGUUUAUAUGAUCGUACAUAAAUUAUCGACCUCUUCAAAGUUCAAAGUUAUAAAACCUGAAAACCAUAUUAUUAUGAUCUUCAACUACUGUGAUAUUGUGAUACGAACAUUUUGAUUUGAUUAAAACCACGGUUUAAGAUAGAUUCUGUGGUAGUGAGUGAUAAGGAACUAAUUCAUGUAGGUACCUUCUUUCUGGAUCUUUAUAAUUUUUUUACUAUUUAGUACCUAUUUACCAGUUAUCGAAUCACUAAAGUGGGAAGGUGGGUUUAUUCCAUAAUUGGCAUAAUUUGUUAGCUGUGACUUGUGUUGCAUUGUUGUUUUAGUAGCCAUCUAAUUUAUAUCUCUAUAAGUUGCUAAGUUACUGUUCGACAGACCUUCUGCAACAUCAAAAUUUAGUCAAUUUAGAUAAUAUGCUUCCUGUUAACUUUUAAUUAGAUUUGACAUUUUAUUAUGACAUUUUUUGGGGAUUCUGAGUGCUGCUGUUUGGUUAAAGAUAACGUCACAACUCACUGAUGCAUGUGUAGUCUCCGUUUUUACAAAAUGUAAAAUAUGUCAAUAUACCAAAUUUUGCACCUACAAUAA